GGGGGUUUAGCUCAUUUGGUAGAUGUCCUGCUUUGAUAGCUGGAUGUCAGCGGUUCGGACUCCGCUAACCUCCACCA
rnacentral:tRNA from 1 species